CGCGUUCAAAGAUGCCUAUGUAAAAAUAGAUUAUUGUAAUGCAAUCUAUACUCUUUGAAGUCUUGUCAAUUAUAUCUUUGUAUGAUGCAGAUUUUCGUUUCUUCGGUCUGACAAAGAUUUGCGUUUGGACAGCAACGAUGGUGUUACAGUCAGCUAGGUAAUCCUCCUCCGCGGAAUUCGACGAUUCCUUGUUGACAACGACGACGCUGUCGGCCAGAUUGAUUCCAGCACGGAGCAAGUCAUCGAGACUGUUACAGAAAGAACAUGUUUUUUUAAUAAUAAAUUUAUUUCUUGAAGUGCA